UCCCUGGAGGACUAGUGGUUAGGCUUCAGAACUCUCAUUACCGUGGCCCUGUUCGAGUCCCAGCCAGGGAA